rnacentral:rRNA from 1 species
GAUGAACGCUGGCGGCGUGCUUAACACAUGCAAGUCGAGCGAAGCACUUAAGAAUGAUUCUUCGGAUGAGCUCUUUUGUGACUGAGCGGCGGACGGGUGAGUAACGCGUGGGUAACCUGCCUCAUACAGGGGGAUAACAGUUAGAAAUGACUGCUAAUACCGCAUAAGCGCACAGUGCCGCAUGGCACCGUGUGAAAAACUCCGGUGGUAUGGGAUGGACCCGCGUUGGAUUAGGCAGUUGGCGGGGUAACGGCCCACCAAACCGACGAUCCAUAGGCGGCCUGAGAGGGUGGACGGCCACAUUGGGACUGAGACACGGCCCAAACUCCUACGGGAGGCAGCAGUGGGGAAUAUUGCACAAUGGGGGAAACCCUGAUGCAGCGACGCCGCGUGAGUGAAGAAGUAAUUCGUUAUGUAAAGCUCUAUCAGCAGGGAAGAAAAUGACGGUACCUGACUAAGAAGCCCCGGCUAACUACGUGCCAGCCGCCGCAGUAA